UUGGAUUUAUCGCUGGAGGAUGUUGGGAAAAGAAUUGAACUUGUCUACACUCCUGUCCGGGAGGAUAGAAUAAAAGGCAAUCCUAGGAGUAUUGUAUCUGAUGGUAUUGCUCCGGCAAAUCCUAUGGGGCUGGAGCUUGUAAUUCCUGAGUGUUGCGAGAAACAAGAGGUUGUGCCACAUAGAAUCUAUUUUGGUGGACAUGAAGGUGGUGGUGACUACAUAUGGUACAGAACUAAGAAUAAGUUGCAUGGAUCUGCACUCAUGGAAAUAUCCUUUGGGGGUGAAGAUGUUACUGUUUGUUGUAGGACAUUAAAAUAUACUCCAUCCCUUGAAGAUGUAGGGGCUUAUCUAGUCUUGUACUGGAUUCCUACUCGUUCAGAUGGAAGACAUGGGAAGCCAGUUAUAUCA